GACGUUCGUUGGCGUCUUGCUUAACACAUGCAAGUCGAACGGAAAGGCCCUUCUUUUGUGGGGUGCUCGAGUGGCGAACGGGUGAGUAACACGUUAGUAACCUGCCCUUUACUUUGGGAUAACUUCAGUAAACUGUGUCUAAUACCGGUUAGGAGCUCCUGCUGUAUUGUGGGGGUUUGAAAGUUUCGGCUGUUGGGGAUGUAUUCGCGUCUUAUCAGCUUGCUGGUGGGGUAGUGGCUUACCAAGGAUUUUACGGGUAGCCGGCAUGAGAGGGUGACGGGCAACAUAGGGAUUGAGAUAAGGACCAGAAUCAUACGGAAGGAAGAAGUGGGGAAAAUUGCAAGAUGGGCGGAAGAAGGGAGCAGCAACGCCGCGAGCGGGAUGAAGGCCUUCGGGUAGGAAACCGAGUUCGCAGGUGACGAAGCGUGAGUGAAGGUAAUGGGUAAAGAAGCAACGGCUAACUACGCG
rnacentral:rRNA from 1 species